CUGUGCCUAAAAUCUGGCUUCACCAAAGGAUCAACUGGUCAGGAGCUACAGAACAUCAGAAAUUUACCUUCCUGUUCAAUAUUCUUAUUGCUCCUCAGUCUGUCUUUCCGUUGCUCCACAUCUUGUGCCUGGCCAGUGUUCUCUGAAUAUUUAUGUAUCUGUGUCAUACUCACAAAAGCCCUAAGACAGAACGGUCCUGGUUUGGAACCAGCACCCUCAACUCCUACAGAAUCAUUUUGAAAACAGAAAAUCUGAAAUACAGAGGGGUGAGUUAAACAUGGUAUCUUCCUAACUUCUGUGAGUCCACACUGCCAGAGGAAGAAGGUCAGUAACAAGUCUACCUACAAGCCCAAACAGCCCUGCUGCAUUCAACAGCAAGGAACACAAGUCAUUCAGCUGCUUGAUGUUGCUUACAAGAUGGUAGCAUAAAGCUUGAACACAAGCCACCCAGACUUCUGAACAUGAUCAGUAGCAACAGCUCCAAAAGCAGAUCACUUAUACUGGAAC